AUUGAACGCUGGCGGCAGGCCUAACACAUGCAAGUCGAACGAGUGGCGGACGGGUGAGUAAUGUCUGUGCAACUGCCUGAUGGAUGGGGAUAACUACUGGAAACGGUAGCUAAUACCGCAUACCAUCAGAUGUGCCCAGGUGGGGUUAGCUUGUGGGGGGGGAAACGGCUCACCAAGGCGACGAUCCCUAGCUGGUCUGAGAGGAUGACCAGCCACACUGGAACUGAGACACGGUCCAUACUCCUACGGGAGGCAGCAGUGGGGAAUAUUGGACAAUGGGCGCAAGCCUGAUGCAGCCAUGCCGCGUGUGUGAAGAAGGCCUUCGGGUUGUAAAGUACUUUAAGCGGGGAGGCGCUACCCGCAGAAGAAGCACCGGCUAACUCCGUGCCAGCAGCCGCGGUAAUAC
rnacentral:rRNA from 1 species